rnacentral:tRNA from 1 species
GCAUCAGUAGUUUAGUGGUAAAAUAGGUGUUUGCCAUCUGGAACAAACCUACACCUGCCGGGGGUUCGAUUCCCCCCUGAUGCA